UACGUAGGGUGCAAGCGUUAUCCGGAAUUAUUGGGCGUAAAGAGUCUCGUAGGCGGUUUGUCGCGUCUGCUGUGAAAACUGGAGGCUCAACCUCCAGCCUGCAGUGGGUACGGGCAGACUAGAGUGCGGUAGGGGAGAUUGGAAUUCCUGGUGUAGCGGUGGAAUGCGCAGAUAUCAGGAGGAACACCGAUGGCGAAGGCAGAUCUCUGGGCCGUAACUGACGCUGAGGAGCGAAAGCAUGGGGAGCGAACAGG
rnacentral:rRNA from 1 species